AUUCCAGCUCCAAUAGCGUAUAUUAAAGUUGUUGCAGUUAAAACGCUCGUAGUCGGAUUUCGGGGCGGGCCGACCGGUCUGCCGAUGGGUAUGCACUGGCCGGCGCGUCCUUCCACCCGGAGACCGCGCCUACUCUUAACUGAGCGGGCGCGGGAGACGGGUCUUUUACUUUGAAAAAAUCAGAGUGUUUCAAGCAGGCAGUCGCUCUUGCAUGGAUUAGCAUGGGAUAAUGAAAUAGGACUCUGGUGCUAUUUUGUUGGUUUCGAACACCGGAGUAAUGAUUAAUAGGGAUAGUUGGGGGCAUUAGUAUUUAUUAGCUAGAGGUGGAAUUCCCUAAUUUGAUAAAGACUAACUUAUGCGAAAGCAUUUGCCAAGGAUGUUUUCAUCA
rnacentral:rRNA from 1 species